AUGCAUAGUUUGCUUGUUUUGAUGAAACUAACGAUUUAUAUCAGUGGAUUAAGCCAUGGAAAAGUUAUAUUAUACCGGCAACUCCUGCAGAAAUGUCAGUUUUUCCAUUCUCACAGGGCACAGCCAAUGGCACUGGAACAAGUUUUCUCGGACCGUGAUAGUGAAGAUGAAGUUGAUGAUGACAUCGCCGAUUUUGAAGAUAAACGGAUGCUUGAGGAUUUUGUUGACGUCACAGACCAUGAGAAACUUAUUAUGCAUAUGUGGAAUUCAUUUGUUCGGAAACAAAGGGUGCUAGCUGAUGGUCAUAUUCCUUGGGCCUGUGAGGCAUUCUCCCGGCUUCAUGGAAAACAUCUUGUACAGAAUCCUCCUCUACUAUGGAGCUGGCGUUUCCUUAUGAUUAAACUCUGGAACCACAGUCUAUUAGAUGCCCGCACCAUGAAUGUCUGCGGCACAAUUCUUCAAGGCUACCAAAAUGAAAGCUCGGACCCCAAGAAAAUGAAACAUCAUGAUUAUCAGGACGGGGGACGAGAAGUAGCAUCAUUACGCACAUCUAUAAGAGCAUCUCCAUCCAACCAAGGCACUCUUCAUAUGUCUGAGCGGACAGCCCGGACAGGAAAGAGGAAAAAAAAGCCUAACCAAUCGAGAUUCUGA
rnacentral:rRNA from 1 species